CAAACACGUUGCUCCUGAGAAGCUGCAGAAACAUUCCCAGAGCUUUCUUUCCUGAAAACUAACCCGAUCUAGCCCCAAACUUUGCCUUCCACAAGAGGAAGCACUUCACCUGCAGCAGGCACAGGCAGUGGCCCCGCCGGAGCGCACCCCGGCAGUGAAGGGAGCCCCGAAAGAACGCUGGGCAGGGAAAGGGGUGCCGGGACACACACACGGAAUUCCCACUCCAGCACGAGCACAGCCAGGCUUCCAUGGCUGCGAAACAUGAGGCUUUGGGGGGGCCCAGCUCCUUCUCUCUCCCCCCCUCCAGCAUGGUCGCGAUGAUCGGGAAUAACCCCCCCGCCUCGCCGCCUGUCACUCCAUGGCACGGCACCGCUCCAGCCCGAAAUCAGCCCCCAGCCCUGGCCGCUGCCCCGGCGGGGAUGGAAUUCCAUCUGCCGUGCGGGCAGCCGGGGCACAGCGGCCCCGCGCCCCAUCCCGCCCUUACCUGAACUCCUCUGCGAGCCGGGGGGGGCAGCAAAGGCCACCAACGACCAGGAGAGCGCAACAACAACAACAACAACAACAACGAAAACGGGCGAGAAAAAACCCAAACAACACAACCAAGCC